UACAUAGGGCGCAAGCGUUGUCCGGAAUUAUUGGGCGUAAAGAGCUCGUAGGCGGUUUGUCGCGUCUGCCGUGAAAGUCCGGGGCUCAACUCCGGAUCUGCGGUGGGUACGGGCAGACUAGAGUGAUGUAGGGGAGAUUGGAAUUCCUGGUGUAGCGGUGAAAUGCGCAGAUAUCAGGAGGAACACCGAUGGCGAAGGCAGGUCUCUGGGCAUUAACUGACGCUGAGGAGCGAAAGCAUGGGGAGCGAACAGG
rnacentral:rRNA from 1 species